rnacentral:miRNA from 1 species
CUGAACAAUCUCUGCAGCUCUAGAAGAGUCUUUAAGUGCUGGAGAGAUGGCUUAG